AGAAUCAACGCUGGCGGCGUGCCUAACACAUGCAAGUCGAACGAGAAAGUGGAGCAAUCCAUGAGUAAAGUGGCGCACGGGUGAGUAACACGUGACUAACCUACCCUUGAGUGGGGGAUAACCUAGGGAAACCUGGGCUAAUACCGCAUAAUACCUUCGGGUCAAAGGAGCAAUUCGCUUAAGGAGGGGGUCGCGGCCGAUUAGUUAGUUGGCGGGGUAAUGGCCCACCAAGACUGUGAUCGGUAUCCGGCCUGAGAGGGCGCACGGACACACUGGAACUGAAACACGGUCCAGACUCCUACGGGAGGCAGCAGUGGGGAAUUUGCGCAAUGGGGGAAACCCUGACGCAGCAACGCCGCGUGGAGGAUGAAGUCCCUUGGGACGUAAACUCCUUUCGAUCGGGACGAUUAUGACGGUACCGGAAGAAGAACGCCCCGGACUAACUUCGCGCCAGCAGCCGC
rnacentral:rRNA from 1 species